rnacentral:rRNA from 1 species
GACGAACGAUGGCGGCGUGCCUAAUACAUGCAAGUAGAACGCUGAAGGAGGAGCUUGCUUCUCCGGAUGAGUUGCGAACGGGUGAGUAACGCGUAGGUAACCUGCCUGGUAGCGGGGGAUAACUAUUGGAAACGAUAGCUAAUACCGCAUAAGAGUAGAUGUUGCAUGACAUUUGCUUAAAAGGUGCAAUUGCAUCACUACCAGAUGGACCUGCGUUGUAUUAGCUAGUUGGUGAGGUAACGGCUCACCAAGGCGACGAUACAUAGCCGACCUGAGAGGGUGAUCGGCCACACUGGGACUGAGACACGGCCCAGACUCCUACGGGAGGCAGCAGUAGGGAAUCUUCGGCAAUGGACGGAAGUCUGACCGAGCAACGCCGCGUGAGUGAAGAAGGUUUUCGGAUCGUAAAGCUCUGUUGUAAGAGAAGAACGAGUGUGAGAGUGGAAAGUUCACACUGUGACGGUAUCUUACCAGAAAGGGACGGCUAACUACGUG